CUUACUCCUAGUUGUUUGAUUUGUAUAGGCUCAACUUGUAAAUGAAAAAAGCAGAGCAGAGGGUCUAUCUGCAGAGGUGCUGCAGCUCUCAGCACGACUCCAGCAAGCUACACAAGCUUACAAUGCUCUUGCACGCCUCUACAAACCAGUCCUGCGGAACAUCGAGAAUAGUCUCAUAAAGAUGAAGCAAGAUGGCUCAGUUUCAGUGCAGUGCAGUGAACAGAUCAGAGCUGUCUAGUUUUUCUUAUACCAAACUGGAACGGAAGUGCUUAUUUUGUUAGAAAUGUCGUCGUUUUAGGAAAAGAAUGUUUUGAGUUAGCUGUAGGACGGGGGUAAUUGAUAAUUUUAGCCACACAAAAUUCUUUGAAUGAAUACGUCGUUCUAUACUCAACAGACGUUACGGCGAGGAUAUUAGCGGUCUGUGAAUGUAUUUUAGGUUUCUGGGUCCAGCAGUUGGAAGUUAGAAGGGUGUGAAGAAAGGUCAGUGGUUGGAAAAAAAAAAAGUUCUUAAAA